rnacentral:rRNA from 1 species
AUGGAUCUGAACCCGCAAGUGCUAUGCUGGAACGUUCGAGGCCUGAACGACCCGGCGAAGAGGAAGGCGGUGAGAGAAUUUGUGACGUCGGUGCGCGUUAACUUAGUGUGCCUACAAGAGACAAAACUAGAUGUAUUUGAUCGUUUCAGUGUUAUGCAAUGUUUAGGGCCGUCGUUGGACGGCUUUGCCUACCUCCCUGCGCUGGAAACGAGAGGUGGGGUGCUCCUUGCUUGGGACACCACGGUCAUGGAGAUUAACAACAUUCACCUUGACACUAAUUUUUUGAUGGGCUUGGUGCACAAUAAGGACGGAGCUGAGUGGUGGAUCUCGAUGGUUUACAGUCCCCAAGGUGACGAUCUAAAGACUGACUUCUUGGCGGAAUUAAGAGCUAGACGGGAAUGA